AUGCACAGCCGACAGCCGUGAGACUGAAAUUAUGAAUGACAUGCAUUUUUAUAAAUCUUUUGCGUAAGCAAAUAACUUAUUCGAUGAAUAUCUUCAUGUAAGUUGAAUACGACAUUUUUGUCGGCUGUGCAAAAACAGUAAAAUUCACAAAAGACGCAGAGCGCAGUGGAUCAUAGUUGAUAGUUAAGCUAAAUGUUGUUGUGGAUGCCAAGCUCAAUGUUUUUAUAACAGUUCGGCUCGGCUAUUGAGUUUUUAGCACUAUUUUGUGAGAGCGGGAGGGCUGAUAAAGAUGUAUGCCAAUUGUUUUUGCAUUUGUGUUGAUGUAUGUAUGUGUAAGCGUGAGAAGCAUUUAUAAUAAAUGAUUUCAUUUGUAUUAGUAUUUAAAUGAAUGCCGACUUUGCAAAGGCUGUCUACAAUUCCCUGAACUUAGUUGUUCGCUGAGUUUCUCUCACAAUGGUUUGUUCCGUUUGUUGUCUGAACUGAUAGGAGCUGAUAGGAAUACAAAUAAAAAAACAAAAUGUAAUCUUUCAAGGAAAUUCCGUCCGGAAAUUUCAGAACAAGUCUAGCUUUUGGAGGUAAUGUUCCAACCUGACACAAAAUCCGGGUUUCUACCGUUUCGAAAAGUUUGAGAGAACUAUGAAGGACUAUCAAACUGGGUUUGGGAGAGUAUUCUGGAGACGCAGGCGAUGCAAUGGUCCAUCAUCUAAAUAUGCGAUUCUCAACAUCCGAUGCGGAUCACGAUAAUUGGGGAACUUGAAACUGCGCAGAAUGGUUGCAUUCUGGAUGGUGGUUCGACAAAUGCAGUGAAUGUAAUUUGAAUGGAAUUUACAGACCAGAACAUCACAUGUACGAACAGUGGGGCGUAAAUUGGUUUAGCUGGACAAACAACUCACUUAAUUUCGCCCAAAUGAUGAUAAGACCAAAAGAAUAGCUAUAGUAAAGCGAAUAUAAUAUUAUUGCAAUGUUGAUAA